rnacentral:rRNA from 1 species
AUUGAACGCUGGCGGCAUGCUUUACACAUGCAAGUCGAACGAGUGGCGAACGGGUGAGUAAUAUAUCGGAACGUACCGAGUAAUGGGGGAUAACCAAUCGAAAGAUUGGCUAAUACCGCAUACUAUCAGAUGAGCCUAGGUCGGAUUAGCUAGUUGGUGGGGUAAAGGCUCACCUAGGCGACGAUCUCUAGCUGGUCUGAGAGGAUGAUCAGCCACACUGGGACUGAGACACGGCCCAGACUCCUACGGGAGGCAGCAGUGGGGAAUAUUGCACAAUGGGCGCAAGCCUGAUGCAGCCAUGCCGCGUGUAUGAAGAAGGCCUUAGGGUUGUAAAGUACUUUCAGCGGGGAGGCGUUACCCGCAGAAGAAGCACCGGCUAACUCCGUGCCAGCAGCCGCGGUAAUUC